UACGUAGGGGGCUAGCGUUGUCCGGAAUCAUUGGGCGUAAAGCGCGUGUAGGCGGUCCGGUAAGUCCGCUGUGAAAGUCGGGGGCUCAACCCUCGGAUGCCGGUGGAUACUGUCGGGCUUGAGUACGGAAGAGGCGAGUGGAAUUCCUGGUGUAGCGGUGAAAUGCGUAGAUAUCAGGAGGAACACCGGUGGCGAAGGCGCACAUCUGGCCCGAUACUGACGCUGAGGCGCGAAAGCUAGGGGAGCAGACGGG
rnacentral:rRNA from 1 species